rnacentral:piRNA from 1 species
UGCCUCACUUCUAUAUCUUGGGGAAGGAUGU